UUAAGCAUAUCACUAAGCGCAGGAGAAGAAACUAACCAGGAUUUCCCUAGUAACGGCGAGCGAACCGGAAAGAGCCCAGCUUGAAAAUCGUGGCGCCUCGCGCCUCGAAUUGUAGUCUGGAGAAGGUCCCUCUGAGGCGCGCCGGACCCAAGUUCCCUGGAAAGGGACGUCGGAGAGGGUGACAACCCCGUCGAGUCCGCGCUGCGCCGCUCCACGAGUCCCUGUCUGCGAGUCGGACUGUUUGGGAAUGCAGUCCUAAGUGGGUGGUAAAUUCCAUCCAAGGCUAAAUAUUGGCAAGAGACCGAUAGCGAACAAGUACCGCGAGGGAAAGAUGAAAAGGACUUUGAAAAGAGAGUUAAAAAGUGCUUGAAAUUGCUGGGAGGGAAGCGAAUGGAAGCUGCGGGUGCGCCCCGGUUGGAUGUGGAACGGCUUCGGCUGGUCCGCCGCUCAACGCGGGGCGCUGGUCAGCGUGGGCCGUCGCGGCGGGACAAGAGCGGGGAUUCGCUUCCCGCCUAUGCCGUCGCGGCGGCCGAGGAACGAAGCGCGCGCCUCCUUUGGCGUGGGGCUUGCCCCAACUGCGCGCUCGGGACGCUGGCGUAUUGAGCUCUUCAUCCGACCCGUCUUGAAACACGGACCAAGGAGUCUAACAUGUAUGCGAGCCGGUGGGCGGCAAACCCAUUGAGGCGCAAGUAAACUGACAGGUGGGACCCCGACCGCAAGGGAGGGAGCACCAUCGACCGACCGUGAUCUUCUGUGAAAGGUUUGAGUACGAGCAUAAAUGUUGGGACCCGAAAGAUGGUGAACUAUGCCUGAGCAGGGCGAAGCCAGAGGAAACUCUGGUGGAGGCUCGUAGCGAUACUGACGUGCAAAUCGUUCGUCAGACUUGGGUAUAGGGGCGAAAGACUAAUCGAACCAUCUAGUAGCUGGUUCCCUCCGAAGUUUCCCUCAGGAUAGCUGGAGCUCGUGUAAAAGUUUUAUCAGGUAAAGCGAAUGAUUAGAGGCAUCGGGGGUGUAACACCCUCGACCUAUUCUCAAACUUUAAAUAGGUAAGCCGCCGGGGUUGCUUGGUUGAACCCCGGCACAGAAUGAGAGCUCCAAGUGGGCCAU
rnacentral:rRNA from 1 species